UACAGAGGUCCCAAGCGUUGUUCGGAUUCAUUGGGCGUAAAGGGUGCGUAGGUGGCGCGCUAAGUCAGGCGUGAAAUUUCGGAGCUUAACUCCGAAACUGCAUUUGAUACUGGCGUGCUUGAGGACUGGAGAGGAGACUGGAAUUUACGGUGUAGCAGUGAAAUGCGUAGAGAUCGUAAGGAAGACCAGUGGCGAAGGCGGGUCUCUGGACAGUUCCUGACACUGAGGCACGAAGGCCAGGGGAGCAAACGGG
rnacentral:rRNA from 1 species